AUAAAGUUCAAAAUUUUAACUACCAUAAUCACGUUAAGUUUGCACUUAGACUCAAAGGAGACAAAAUAGAAGAAAAGGAUGAUGGAAUUUCAUCUGAUCUUCUCUUAGCACCAGCAGGAUGACACUCCCAGGAAGAACUGGAAUGAAGCAGGAACAAGCAGAUACCAUUGGGAAGUUGUUUGUUUGCGUCAUCAUUUGCAGUGGGCUGAGGUCAAGUUUUCCUUCUCAGGAAGUUUUGCAGACCCACACAGUGUACAGCAAAUAAAUGCAUGGAACAGGCACUUGCAGAUGACAGCAGUUAAACAGUUAAAAAGAGACAGCUAAAACUCUCUGUGCAUCCUAUCAGCUCGUUUCCCUGCAGUGCCAUUCCUCCCAAGUCCCCUCUUACGUCAUGGGUUAAUCCACUUGCAGUCUGUCACUGCAGCUCAGGCGAUGAAAUCUUUGGGGAAUGGGCAGUUGCUGGAGCAUAUGCUGUCCAUUCACAGUCCUUUACAGGCAACUGGAAUACAGGCACCAAUAUGCCCAGAUUGCUCUCACAUGACAAGCUUAUUUGGUGAUCUGCAGAAAACAGUGGAAUUACCAUAUAAAAUACAAUUACAUAAAUCAGGAAUAAGCAUAUACUGUAAGGAAUUAUCCUAAAUGGACUGGGAAGUUGUAGGUUCUUGAGUUGCCAGCACUGGAGGAUUCACUCUAGGAAAGACUUCAUUGGAAAAACUGAAUUUGGAAACAGGCUAUUAUGGCUAAAGAGUGGCCUCUGGACCAGACAUGAUGGACCUGCCCCUGUUACCUCUCACCUCUAGCAGGGUCUGUGCAGCUCAUUAAGAAGGUUUUAAUGUGAUGACAUAUGCUGGUAAUACUGUACAGACAUGGAAAUGUAUGAAAGAUUAAUUCUAUAAAAUAUACCAUAGCUGAAGACAGCUAAAAUUAAUCUGCCAAAUACUAGUAAUUGUCUUUUAUGGUCUGUCACAGCUUGUACUUGCAGAUUUGUAUAAAUCUCUGUGGAGGCAGUUUCUUCCUUAGCCAGAGUUAAGCAUAGGGAGCUU